ACUGUUGAAUCACGGCCUGAACCGCUGAUUGAUCACCUGAGGAAAGGACUGAGUCAGCCAUGGGACUCCACCUCUCAGACGCCAUUUAAGGUCUGACUGCUGCAGGGGAAGGAUCUCCUUCUGGAGAUCCCUCCUCUGUGUAAUCUUUUUUGGGAACCUAGAUCUUUGGAUACAGAAAGUGAUUCUGAAAAAUUGCUUCCUUAUUAGUUUCUUAAGCCAACACUGGAUCUUUAGUGCUAUGCAUUGAACAAAAUAUCUGCUCUCUAGGGACUUUGACAUCCUUGCAUAUAAUGCAAUGUGCUAUGAAGAGAGGACAUCCAGACCAACAUCAUGAUCUCAGGGAGUAAGGACACUUGAUCUGGCUGGAUGACAAAUCUUGGCUGCUGAUCAUGCCUUUAUGCACAAUGCAUUGGGCUCAACAGUCUGCUCACCGUGGAUGUGUUCUCAAAGGGCUACUUUCAAUAAUUACUUCUUUCUUAUCUAGAUGAUAGGCAUAAGUAACACAUAAUUAUCCAUUACUAUCACUAAACAUUCUAUGAACAUAUAAAAUCAUUAACAUUUCAUCUAUUUGUCACUUUUUAAAAUUUCUUUUUGCCACAUAAACUAUGAGACCAGGGUAGAUAUAGCUCAGAGCUCUUGUUCCUCAAAAGAGUUAUCCGGAAGAUUUGGGUGAUCUGAAAGCAUAUGUAACAACAUGAUUGUCUUCCUUUUAGAAAAAUGAGCUAAAUGCUAAAUAAUACUAAAUAAACUGGAAAAUCAAGAAACUAAUGAUGUUAUUUUAUUUUAUUUUUUUCUGUGGAGGUAGCAUAGUAAAGUCUGAGUUAAUCGAAAACAUUUAUUUUUAGCAUUGCACAAGCACCUAUCAGUGUAUCAAAAUAAAUAAAUAAUUCGAUUUUCUGUAUUACUUGAGCUGAAAUUUUAAUUCUCUCCAAAAGUUCUUAAUUGGCAAGUUUUUUUUCUGAUCUGGAAUGACUACGUAGCAGUCUUUUUUCCUUGUUUAGUUUAACCAAAUUAAUGCCAUAUUAGUAUCCAAAUAAAAUAAUGUCUAUCAGAUACAUAACUUUCACUUUACCAAAGGAUCUGUUUUGUUUUUUACUCAUCUUUUUCAUACCAGCAAUUUACAUCUAUGCAGUCCAGGAAUGCCCUAAGCAAACCUGCCCCAUCCUUAAACUGCAGAUACCAUGUCAAAGCUUUGGACAUCGAGACCUGAAUCUCAUCUUUCAGAUGCAAGCCAACAUAUAAACUAGUAUCAAGCAUCACUUUCCAGUCUGUAAAUAACAAGAAUAUCUGUAAGGAAAGAACUCCUAUAAAGGAAAGACACUUUGAUUCCUUGCCUUUAUCGCCUGAGUCUUUUCAGAUGAAGCUAGUAUAGAGGAACAAUAGGAAAAAAUCAUGUUUCAUAGGAGAACCCAGUGAAUUCAAAUUCAAAUAUCUCAAGUAAAAAGAAUUCAGACUUUAAGAUAAUCCAUCUUUUUUUUUCUUUCCCCUGCGGUGAGAGGAAAAUUGAAGAUUAAAAUUAGCUUGGGUUAUAAAAUUAUGUAAGGUAUGUGCAAGUUUGUUGGACUUUGAUCCACAGUGAAUAUAUCUGAUAUAGAUCUUUUGCUUUGGUUAAUGGAAGGAAGACGACAGCUUAAGUCUGUCCAUGAUCAAAAGUCCUGCACAAGAAAGAUAAUACCAGGGAAUAUUAUUCCUCAAUACCACCUCAAUCAGAUUGCCAAAACUUCUGUUUGAAAGAAGAAAUUACAAAACCAAAUAUAUCAGCCAAAUUUGACCACGUAUUUUAAGCCCCAAAGAAACGAUAUGAGCAUCCAUAUGAUGAUCAACAAUUUCAAAAAUAACUGAGUCAAAUUCUUUAUCUUGGUGCAAUCAUAGAUGCUUGCAUGAUGUUAAAAAUAAAGGCUGUUUUGCACUAACUCAGUCUUUUCUAUGCUAACUCCACAGGAAAAAAAAAAAAAAAUCAUUAGAUUCUUGACUUGCCAGAUUAUUUAGUAACCUUUCCAGUAAAUUUAUUCAAUCCUCUAGCAGAAACAAUAGUUCAAAUUCAGUUCUAUUACUUCUAAAUGAGAAGCCUGUGUUCCCACAAAACUGGUGCAUUUCUAAUUGCACUUCUAUGCUUAAGUUUGGCUUUCAUCAUAGCAAAUUACUUUUGCCAUUGCUGCUACAAAUAUCAGAGCAGAAAGCCCUAGUUAAAAGGGCAAAAUGAAGAAUCUCAUUGGAGCAAUGUCUAGACAAGUUUGAUAACAUAAAUACUUGAAUGUGUCAUGAUUUAAAGCAUUGUAAAAUACAAUGAUGCUAUUUAUCAUUCCUUUUCAGACUGAGAAAUCCUAUUUAAUGAAAUAUAGAUCCUAUUGUACUGGACUUCACUGUUUUUGAUUCUAACUUCUAUUGCCAUGUUUUAUUUUGCAUCUUGGCUUUUGAAAAUGUUCUUUAUAGGUACUACAUUUAUUACUGGGAGCAUUUACAGAAAAUUAUAAAGCUUUUUAAUAAAUGAACUGUAUUUAAAAGUGGUGAAGUAUGAGAACUUUCAAAAUGAUUUUCAGGAAAACAAUCUAGAUAAAAGGAACAGAAAACACUCCUUUGCGUUCAGGUGUCACUGAAUAACAUAAAAUUACAUUGGUAUGCUCAUGACUUGUUGGUAUUUCUUAAUUAAAUACAAUGAUGUUAGCUGCCUCAGAACAACAGAAUAAAACCCUAAGAAUAAAAAUUUAUUGCAGUGGAGUAUUACAAAGCUUAGUAAGUGUCAUUGUUGAUUAUUUCUGUCAUCAGGACAGAGAAUUUUGGAGACAAUGGAGGAGGUUACACUUGUUUUCUCAGUUUAAGAACUGGAUUAAUGUGCUAAAGGUGCUCUUGUGUUUAGAAUUUCACAUGCUGUGUAUCAAAAUGAAGUCAAAGCAUUUUGAAUAUUUUAGUGUAUAUGACUGUUAGAACAAAUGCUUGCUGUGAUACACUAAGCCAAAAAAAAAAAAAAAAAAUCAGAGACAGAAAGAUACAUUUUCUUCUGAGUUACCUUACAAAGGGGAUCACAACUGCUAAUAAAGGCAAAUCGCAGUAUUCAAUAGCCUGCUGCCUUCCUAAAGCACUAAACCUUUAAGUAGCAUAAGUCAACCUUUACGACUCCUAUAAAGUAAUCUUGUAGGUUACUAUUAUUAGUGCUCAAGGCAGAAGAAUCUAUAACACAAGAACAUGCUGUAAAUUUUGAAAAAAUAGAUGGGCUGGAAUAGUUUUUUGUUGUUUCCUGAACUGUGACGCUUAAAUUUCUUGCUCAAUACAAUGCUCAUUUAGCAAAUCAUUUAAUAUCAUAACAAAAUAACAUUAUAGUCUGAUAAUUUUGAAAUUUAUUAUUUAAUGCUGAAAGAUUAAUGUGAUCCACUUUACUUGGGUUUAACGAUUCAGACAAAAAUUCUAUUUCCUAGGCUUCAAUUCUUGCCCCUAUAAGCAUAUUUUGAUUCUCUAAAGGCAGUUUUAUGAUGUAUUUAAAUCUUUUCACUCAAAAGUAUUUUUUAAAAAAGCAAGUAGUAAUAAAAAUCCUCUACAAAGAAAUAUAAUGUGGGAAGAUUAUUGGCAGUUUUUAAAGUAUCAAGUAUAUGAAUAAUUCGUACAUAUUACACAUUUUCUGACAGGAACAGAGUUUAUUUUGCAUUUCUUCCCCUGUUUAAAUGGAAGCUUCACAUGACACUAUUCAUAAUAGUAUAAAUAUUUAUCUUUGAAUUCUAUUUAAGUGCCUAUAUUUAUGUAUAUAUAUAUACAUACGCACAUAUAUUUUAAAACUCAUUUUCUGUGUUGCCUCUAGAGAACUAAUCUUCAGUGGUUUAUCCAAAUUCAACUUUUGACAGUAGCAACUUGAACACUUUUUCUGCUCUUUCCAAGGCUGCCAAACAGCAUCUUUGCUUUACCCUAAAUCCUGCCCUCCUUCUAAUGAACAUCACUUAUAAAAUAAAUUUACUUAAGAACAGCAUCCCCUGAUUGCACUAGAGGUAAUAUAAACACAUCAGUUACUGCUUGCUUUUUUUUUCUAGGACAGUGGAAAAGGAUGAAAUUUCCCAUAGGGGAAUUAAAAGAAAUGAUACCUAUCUGGAGGCUUGACACUAUCUAGCAAGACUCUCAUUGAUAAUGAACAAUAAUCUGCAAUGCAUUUCUAAAGCUUCAACGAAUACUUGCAUGAGUGAAAUUCUGUUCCUUACAGGAACUUUGCAAGUACAUUGAUUGUUUAAACGUACCACUGGGAAAAUAAUCUGUUUCACUAGAGUAUUCUGCUUUUUUAAAAAAAUCAUGUUUUUUUUUUUUUUAGUGAUACUUCACCAGGAAAUGGAGAGUCUGCUCUGGAGCUUUGUUACAGAGGUUGCUUAGGAAAAGCUGGCAGGUGGCAGCACAAGGACAGUCUGGUCAAAUGGCAUAUGACUUGGAAACGUGGAUGAAGCAAAGGGGUAGAACUGAAUUCCUCCAUGCAGAAAAAAUGGAACCCGGUGACAUUCACUGAUGCUUACUGAACAUUUAUGGAGAUCAAACAGUGGAUGAGACGACAGUGCAAUGACACUUGGGUGCAUUUCAGCAGUAGUGACAGGGAUGGUAUGUCACUUCUGCUAGUUCAGAUUUUUAUGAACGUAACAUGCAGGCUCUUGUUCAAUACUGGUGAAAAUGCAUUGCUAAUGGUUGUGGCUUUGUUGAAAAAUAGUGUUUUGUAGCUGAGAAUUUGCUUUAUCAAAUAGCAUUAUUGUGUUCUAUGUAUCUGCUGUAAAUAGGAAUAAAUAGGAGGCAUUACUUUCAGAGCAACCUAUGUGCAAUAGAGCAGACAAUUUGAGAGGUGACAGAAAAGGCUGGCAGGAGGGAUGCAUGUUUUGACUACAAUGUAACUACGCUUUAAACAAAGGCACAAUGGUUAGAUGUAGAUGUAUCCUAGCCUGUGCUGUUUAAAACACAGCAAGAAUAUUGACUUGUACUAUAGACUCACACGUUUUUCUGUCUAGAAGAUUCUGAUUAUUUAAUACAUGCUACAUAAGAAGGGGGAGGAAACAAAGUAUUUUAUGAGAUGUAAAUGUGAAGCCUGUAUAUGUUGCUUACAUGUGAUUAUGUGCAUUUAAAAUACUCAGAGAAAUCAGGAGUUUUUGUCCUCCUUCAGCUCUCCAUCUCAACUCCAGAAAGAAAACCAACAAUGAGAUAAUUCAUAGAUAGGAGAUUAUUCAGUCAACAUUAGCAAGUCAUGUUAAGUUCAUUUGUCUGCGUUUUUGAGCAACUGGAGUUCACAUCUCAAUUUUUUUUCUACAGCUACUAAGCUAAAAACUGAUAUACAACUGAGAUGUUUAUGUAUUUUACUCCCAAAUUAAUUUCUAGCUACAGUAAAAAUGACGAAAAUCUCAAUAAAACUUCAGAAAUGUGGGCGACCACACAGAUUUGAAGAAAGACUCUGAGUUUUCAGCCCCUUAUUUCAGGCCUGUAUUUACUCUGAGUGGAGAAGAGGAGGAACAGGCCAGGCAGUUCUCUGGAUCCAGGUGCCCAGUGUGUGCUCAGGCCAUCCAACAUGUUCAGCUUUACCUCAGGACUGGAGAUAUUCUCAUCUCUCAUCAAUGGAGAGUGUAUGAAGUGAGCUGGACACCUGUAUAGUUCAGUUGCAUGUUGAUCUCAUGCAUGUUGCAAUUAGAAUUUUUGGUAGUGUCACAGUGAAGGCAGAUGAGGAGGAGAGUUCUUACCCUUCCAAAGCAGUUUCAGUAGGAUUGUGUAUUUUCUAAACCAGUAAAGGACAGAUAGAUAUUGAUAAAAAUAUUGCAUUCUUAUUGCACACAAAAAAGCUUACAGUUUGUGGAGUAAAUGUUGAGAAAGAUUAAGAAAAAUCUCAUGAAUCCCUAAAAAUGAGAAAGGCUUUAUGUGACAAAUCAUAACAGAAAGAGGCAGAACCACUGCCAAAUAUCACAGGAAAAUAGCCUCAUUUGAAUAUAUCAGUUUGUAUUUGUGAAUAUGGGAUGUACAUGUUCUUAUGAGAAAUAUAGAUAAGAGGUGACAAAAUGUCCAGAACAAGAUCAGGCCAUCUGGACCCUGGUGUGUUUAGUGUCAGCAUUUAAUUCUGUGAGUGGCUUACUGGCUCAGAUUGGAGGACCUAUUUAAAGAGUGCUGGACAUCCAGUGAAAGAGCAUUCAUUUUUGUUUUGCUUGCAGUUAUAAAAGCUCAAGGGAGACACAUUUCUCUGCAGUAUCUUCCAGGAAAAGUUUUGCUAGAGCAAAAAACCAAAGAGUGUAUAAAUCAGAUGUGUUUCUUCCUCAUGCUUUUCUUUCCCACUGGCUCAAGUGAUGUUGAGAGGAAUAGCUUUGUAGCUUUUUUAGUUUCGGGUGCCUGGAGUGCUUCUCAGAAGUUUUAGAACAACAUAAAUUAAUUAAAUAAUAAUAAUAAUAAUAAUAAUAAUAAUAAUAAUAAUAAUAAUAAUAAUGGUUUGUUAGGAAACCAUUUAAGAACUAGACGUCUAGUUCUCAAGUGACUACUUGAAUGUUAGUCCAUAGCUGCCUACAAAGAUCUCCCUAAAAACAGUCAGUAUAUUCUGACAGAAACUUCCAAAUUCUGUCUAAACUUCAGAAAGUUUCAUGUGAUAUGCAAAUGGGUUGUAGGAGUAAUUAACCUUGGUUAUAGUUUAUAAACUAUAAUUUAUAGUUUAGACUCCAUGGGAUUGAGGGGAAGUGGGAAAAGAAGAUAAUAACUAGUAGUGUGUAAUGGAUAUUCAAAUCAUUUGUAUUACUUGGUUAAUAAUCAAAGAGACAUAAGUUAAAAAUAUGCAUUAAUUUGUUAAUUCUAAAUGGAAAGAUUGAUCUAGUAGGCAAAAAAUAAUGUUAUGCUUUCUGCAGAAUCUCAAAAAAUAAUCCAUGGUUCUUUGACUAAUUAUCCAUUUGGGAACAUUACCCUGGAUUUUUAUUGUUGUAGAUAAUUAGUUGUCUUUUAUCUCUUGCACAUGGAUAGCACAUGCUUUUACCAAUGUUAAAUGAUCCCUAGAGAAUGCUAAAUACCUAAAUUAUUAGUUCCUGUAAAAAAAAAACAAAAACAAAAACAAAACAUAGUCAACAUUUUUAUUCAAGUAUUGUGCUGCUGGUCUGGGAUUUUUUUAAGGAUGAGAUAUGACACUGCUUUUAAUUGUGCAGUAUAUGUAUACCAUGAAUACAAACUAAUAAAAUACAUGUGGCACAUUUUCUUUAAGAUUUUAUAGAUUUGUAAUUAUUAUCUCGAGGUCCAUGAGACUCGGAGAUCAGACAAAAAGUACUUUUUAUGUUCGUUUUUGCUUUUUAUUUUCUUUUUAAUUGUUGAAGUAUUCUUUUAUGGUAAAGAUAGGUUUGAGUGUUAGUUCAAUUUCCAAGAUUGCUGUGAGGUUCUUGUCAGACUUUGUGUGAUGCAUAGCUUAUAUUUUCCUAGAUUCAAUCCUGAAAAAGAAGAGACAGAAGACAGCAUUUUUCUAAUUUCCUGCAGCCGUUUGAAGCUGUAUUUCGCUUAUGUUAUAUAUCUGGAGAAUUUUGGUUUUGAAGACCUAUUGCGAUAUUGUUGACCAAACCUGUGGAGAAAUUGAAGUGCAAGCAUGAAAAGACAAAUGGCAGGCAAAGGAAAUUAUAAAUAAUAGGAGUAGUAAAAGAAAUAACAAAGAAAAUAAAGAUGAAAGAAAAUUAAUUAAAAAUGAAAGAAAGAAAAAAAAAGACAAAAAAUAGCAUUUUAUUCAUUAUUUGUCAUUUUAAUUUAUUCAUAUUAAUUGCUAUUUCCUGAGUACACAUGAGAGUUGACCUAAAGGUGUUAGCAGUUUUGAAGUAACAGCGAGAUUUUUUUCAGGCUGGCUACGGUAUUGGAAGGAAAGCCAUUCCUGUUUCAGUUUUGCACUACGACUGCAGUGCUUUGUUGCUAUUACUGCUUUCAUGUUCUCUGCCCUGCUGGAGCCCUUGAUCAGCACCUUGUGUUGGAUCUUUACCUUGAUCAUGAGAUCACUGCAGCAUACUUGGAGAAGAGUAAAAACAGCAUGAAGGCUGAUUUAUUUAUUUCUUUAUUAUGUUGUUUGUUUCGUUUUGCUUCUCUCUUCCUGUAAUUUCUUGAUGCAGAACUCUUACUUUGCCUGGGAUUACAUUUGUAAAUUCACGUUUAAUGUGCCUCAUGUAAUCAGUACUUGAAGCUCCUCCGCAGUACAUUUUGAGAUUUUGAGUUAACAAAAAUCAUUAAGAAACAUUGACAGAUAUUUUAGUAAUAUUGAAGCUGAGCAUCAAUAUCAAUGAUGCCAAUAUUCCUUCUCAUUCAGGUAUGCAUGCAUAGAUUGUGGUAUCUCAGUGACAAGAAGAACAAAGUAUCCAUUUCUUCAGUAUGUAGUUAUUUGCAGCUUCCUGGAAUUGGAGUUUACAGUGCUUUCUGCUUACAAAAGGCAUUUCAGAAGUCAUGCACAAAGACCAAUUCCAUUCACUGUGAUUUGCAUUAUGUGUUUCUUUGAGCUCCAGAAAAGAGUUGAAAUAGUAGUGAAAUGAAAUCUGGAUAGAGUUAUUGAGGAUCGUAUUUGUUUCAUGGAAUGUGGCAAUCAGGUGUUAAUAUGUGGUAUUUUUCCUUGUAUCUGUACCUUAGCUAUUACAUCAGAGAGUAUAAAAGAGCAUGUGUUAUCAGUUGUUCCAAAGGGAGGUAUCCUGUGGAAUACCAUCUGAAUGCAUUCUCAGUAGAUAGGCAAAAAAAAAAAAAAAAGUCUGCUAAUCUGUAUGUUGUGCAUUCAGAUUAACUUCUCAUUGUACCAGUAACUGAAUUCAAUAUAAAAACAUCUAAACUGUUAAUGGCAUAAUUAUUAGAGAAAAAAGUCAAAUAACUUUUCAUGUAAAUCCAAAUUAUCUUAAAGACAUACACACACAUGCAAAAUACUGAAAAAUGACUUUAUUCUAUAAAGGAAACUCUUCAUAAUUCAAAUAGAAAUAUGCAAUUUUUUGGGUUGGAAGAGACCCAAAGAGGUCAUCUAGUAGGCACCCCUCUAUCACAGACAGAACAUUGAUCAGGCUGCCCAAAGCAACACAAUUUUGCCCUGAGCACUUCCAGAGGUCAAGCAUCCACAGUUUCUCUGGACAAUUUGUUUGAGUUCCUCUCCACCUCCCCCAGAACAACAAUAUCACAGUGUUUCUUCUCACAUUAUGGCAAAGAACAAGAACAGAAAAAUCAAAUACAGAGAUCUUAGAAAAGGAAAGAAUAACCUUUUCUUCUAAGACUGAAGUAAGCAGGUAAAAUCCAUUUUUUAAAAAUUUAUUUAUUUUUGAAACCAAAUACAGGCAAAAUUGUGCUUUACAAUCUUGCUUCUACCAUAUGUUUUUAAUAAAUAAUAUCAGCUCAUUUUAAUUCCCCCUGCUACUUACUGGGAAGCAUUUUGUCAUAAUAAGUUUUGUUUAAAUCAUGCAUUAUAUGGCAGUCCUGAUGCUUAUCUUUCUCUCUGAUGGCUUCUCUUUUGUUUCCUCCCUGUUUCCUCCAUGUCAUCUGUCUCUCCUGCUUCAAGUGUGAAUUAAUUUCUGUUGACAUCUGGGGUUUGAAGUCUGAAGAAAAGAAAGUGGUGUGCAGAAAUCUGUGAGAGGUGACAGACGUGACAUUGUAUUUCUUCCUGUGUCUUCUGUGACUUUUGUCGAGAUUCUGUUUGAUAUAGCCUGUGUUCACUGGGAAAUGUGUCAGAGUACUGAGCUCACCAGGAGCCUCUCACAGACCUUUUGACAUGAGGGUCCUGAUCAGCUCCCCAGCUGGCUCACCAUGCUGAUGCUAAGCAGGGGGAUGAAAAUCAUCAGAAUGGAUUUCUUUUUUAUUCUGAGAACCAGGAUGUCUUCUCAGGGAAGUAUGGAUCUUUCCUUCCAAUACUUGGUAUACAUUCAUUUAUCUUGGAAAGGUAAUUGCUCCUCAGUGUUUCACAUCUCAAAGCAAUCAUUUGCUACUAGCACUUGAUAAUGAUUUGUUGAAAAAAAAAUGUUAAAAGCAUUCCAUCUUUGCAUUGUCCUUGUGAGCUGGAUGACAUAUUGAUCAGAAAGGAUCACUUGAAUUUCAGGGGUUAGAUUCAGGAUCACCUUGGGUUAAGCUGAGUUGGGUAUCUGCAGACUCUUGAAAUAGUUAUUGAACUGCAACUGACAGCCAGAAAAUUUAAUUCAAACAAACACAAUUUUCUUGUUGGUGUGAAAUGGUGAUUUAUAUUUGGUCAGGCUAUUUCUGGCAUAGGAUUCAAAAUUUCCAGAUAAGAUACAAGGCAAAUGGCUACAGAAUCAUGAAUUAACAAGUACAGUGAGUAUAGCUCCAUAGAUGAGUUGGGAUAAAUAAAUCUAAAGUUAAGGGUUGGCAAUAUACUAUUGCUGAGAUUUCCUUGUUUAUCUUUUUUGGAGAGGAGUGCAGAAGGGAGGGGGAGUUGGCAGAGGGGGUGGAGUUGGUCAAUAUCUGUAGUGUCCUAUCUUUUAGCUUUCUUGGACGAGAAACAGACUUUUCUUCUUAGUCAAACUGUAAAGAUUGCAAAUUUACCAAAUCACUUCUCUAGGGAGCAAAAAAAUAUUGUUUCUAUAUUGCUAAUAUGAUAGAAAAUAGCAGCAUGUUCUUCAGAGCCCAUAGUCUGUCUCAUCCUUAGUACUUAAGUUCUAACACGCAAACAUUAUUCUAUGUUAGUUGUUUCCUUAAAAACUAGGUAUCUCCAAAGUCUCUUUUUCUCGAAGACUAUUUUAAAAGUUUUCUGUUUUUCUAUAUCUUCCAU